rnacentral:rRNA from 1 species
UACGUAGGGGGCAAGCGUUGUCCGGAAUCAUUGGGCGUAAAGCGCGCGUAGGCGGCCCGGUAAGUCCGCUCUGAAAGUCCAGGGCUCAACCCUGGAAAGCGGGUGGAUACUGCCGGGCUAGAAUCCGGAAGAGGCGAGUGGAAUUCCUGGUGUAGCGGUGGAAUGCGCAGAUAUCAGGAGGAACACCAAUAGCGAAGGCAGCUCGCUGGGACGGUAUUGACGCUAAGGCACGAAAGCGUGGGGAGCGAACAGG